UACGGAGGGUGCAAGCGUUAUCCGGAUUCACUGGGUUUAAAGGGUGCGUAGGCGGGCAGGUAAGUCAGAGGUGAAAUCUCCGGGCUUAACCCGGAAACUGCCUUUGAUACUAUCUGUCUUGAAUAUUGUGGAGGUAAGCGGAAUAUGUCAUGUAGCGGUGAAAUGCUUAGAGAUGACAUAGAACACCUAUUGCGAAGGCAGCUUACUACGCCUAUAUUGACGCUGAGGCACGAAAGCGUGGGGAUCAAACAGG
rnacentral:rRNA from 1 species